CAGGUUGGUUUAUUUUUAUUUUCAUAUUCCAUGAUUCCCAAAAAUGGUGCCAGGUGGCCCAGAGAUUGGACAUCCAGAGGGAGAGUGAGAAAGCUCUUGAGAAUAGAAUGUUCGAUUCUCAGGGUUUGUAGAAUAGUGUUAAUGGAGAUUGUUACCUCAGCCGGGGCCUACUGUCCAAGAAGCCUAGCCUAGCCAUGUCCUAAGAUACAUGGACAUUCCAUGCAUAAUCCUUGGCCUCUUCUAAAAACCUUCCUGUGUGCUGGCCGAUGGGAAUGCCUAUGGUCUGAGCCACAUUGGUUUUAUGGUCUGACCACUGGACUAGACCCAGCUCAAGGACACGACGUAUGAAGACUCCUGCUAAGGUCCUCCUGAUGACUCAAAUCAGCAGCUGCUGGGGAAGAUCAGUGUUGAGGGGCUGUUCACCACUACCCUUGUUCUCAGGUAUCAGGCUUUUUCGUUUAUGUGUGUGUGUGUGUUUAACAUAGUUUUUUAUUUGACCUAGUAGUAGCCUUUUUUUGACAAUAGCAGCUCAGCUUGAUUAUGUGCCCUGGGGCAAAAAAAAAGGCUCUUAUGGUUAGGAUCUGCCACGAGUGCUUCUUUACUCUGGUCCUUUGGUAAUACAUGAAGGUAAUGAGCUCAGGCUUUCCCAUUUGGGGGCAGGAAGGUAGGCUUGGUGGGGCCGUGAAACUCCAGCCACUUUCAGCCAGCAGUAAUGUCUUGUUUUCUACUGUACACAAACGCCUUCACCUUUUUUGGCUUUCUUACCCCCCUUUUCUGCUGUCUUCUAACUUACCUCCUUCUAACCAGAAUUCAGACUUGGCUGAGAGGUCCUGAUGUCCUGUGGUGUGUGUGUGUGAGAGUGAGUGAUAAUGUCAAAUUCAGCUUGGUAACACCUUUCUCUGGCCAUACCCAUUUUCUUUGCAGUGAAUGUGAGUUAAUGCAUAGAGUUUACGUCCUUCUAUGAUGAAUUCUAAAUAAUAUUGAGCCCAGUCUCACAGGUAUGAGGCUUCACUGCUCCUAGGCCGGCUGGAGUAUCCUCAAAGGUCUGGGAACAAAGGAGUGUUUCCUAUACUGUCCCUAAAUAAGUCACCUAUGAGCACUUUGAGAGCAAGAGCAGACGCUCCUACCUGGCAGCUGUCAAAGUACUAGGAUGCCUGGCAUUUUCUACCAGGCAGUCUAACAAGGAGGGUCAAAUACCCUGAAUGAAUACAAGAAACGCUGCCUUUAUGACUCCCUUGAAGCAGAUGAGCCCUGGGGCUGUCAGUAGCCAUCAUUUCAAUAAGCCAAGCAUUGUCCACAUUGACUAUUCAGUCAAGAAAGGAGAUGAAUAGUUUCCUGUUUUAGAUGGCUAAGGAGUCAGUAUGAGCUCACAAACCAAACACCAAUUUUCAGAGACAUCUGUUCCUGAUCUCCAGAAUAAACAUUGUGUUCACUGGCUUAGGCUGGUGGGAACCUAUAUUAACCCUGCUGGCUCUCCUAAAGGGAGGCUGGGCCCCCUAGGGGAUCCAGCCUCUCCAACAAUCAGACUAGGCCAAAAGGCUGCCCCAAAGACAUCUACUUCCAAGGAAAAUGUAGAGAAAAGUUUACAUAAAGUAAGAAGCCUCUACUUGGGUUGACAGCUUUCUGCCAUCCCUCGCAGGCAUACUGAUGGCCAGGUCUUUGUUGGGGCCUUUGUCCUUCAUGAAAGGAAUCUGACUGGUGACGGACCUGGAGGACUCUGCACAAGGUCUUGGGUUUGCCUACCUCCCCCCCCCCCCCCCCCACUGCCACAGCCCCCAUAGGCUGAAGGGAAGCUCAAGGGAAGUUAACUGGGUGCAUAGAUUCCUGGAAACUCCUCCUAUCUGGAGGCAGCUGGAAGAGUUAAAUAUUUAGAUUGGUGGUCUUCCCUGGACUA
rnacentral:lncRNA from 1 species